rnacentral:rRNA from 1 species
UGAUCCCUACGGGGCGCAGCAGUGAGGAAUAUUGGUCAAUGGUCGGGAGACUGAACCAGCCAAGCCGCGUGAGGGAUGAAGGUACAGAGUAUCGUAAACCUCUUUUGUCGGGGAACAAAGGCGGGGACGCGUCCCCGGAUGAGUGUACCUGAAGAAAAAGCAUCGGCUAACUCCGUGCCAGCAGCCGCGGUAAUACGGAGGAUGCGAGCGUUAUCCGGAUUUAUUGGGUUUAAAGGGUGCGCAGGCGGUCUGUUAAGUCAGCGGGCAAAGCCCGGGGCUCAACCCCGGCCCGCCGUUGCAACUGG